rnacentral:tRNA from 1 species
ACGGACUAAAAUCCGUUGGCUUUAUAGACCAUGAGGGUUCAAGUCCCUCUACCCCCAU